AGUUAGAUCGAAGUCGUAGGCGAAGACUCGCUAGCACUUCUUACUGGUUCCUACGCUAAUCUACUUGAGUUGACCAUAGUUUUCACCGCUAAGGGAGGAUAACAAGGCCUAAUCGCAGGCCCAGUGAAAGAGAAAUUCCAGAGAAGAGGGGUUGGAUCGAUGUGGUAUAAAGGCUCAAGGCGAAGCGGCGGAACGCAUUCAUUCGGUUCAGUCGCAACUGCCUAAAACGAGUGAUCUGUUUAGCAUUCUGCAGACUAAACUUCACUGUGUAGAUUUUUCGACCUGUUGGAAAUUUAUAGGCAAAGCAAGAUGUCGGAUAAAACUCAAGGACAAGAGUCUCAAUUCAUUGAAAACAAUAAACCAAAUGACGAUACACCAAAGGUUGAUGAACCAAAGGACGAUAAAGUAAAAGACGAUAAAGCAAAGGACGAAAAAACAGAGGAGGAUACGACAAAGGACGAAAAAACAGAGGAGGAUACAACAGAAGAGGAUACGACAAAGGAUGAUAAAAAAAAUUCUCGAGAUCUCACGGAAUUCCCAUAUAAUUGUGUGUUUAAUUUUUACUGUACUCCGUAUUUAUGUAAUCCUCAUGGAUUACGAAAUCCACGAAAUCUGCAACGUCAGUGAGCUUUAAAUGACCGUGGACUUGUCACCGAAUCACCUAGAUGGCAAGAUCCAUAGUUGUCUGGAUUAUGCCAGCAAAAUCAAGAAACGAACACUAAACGUUGAUUAACAAGAAAAGAAAACUCAUCGUGGGAAGAAGCAAUCGGCAAUGUCGAUCCAAUGAAUCUGUUGAUACAUACUGCUUAUAAGAUUAAACUGAUUGGCCAUACUACUAAUUACUUUAUGAAAGAAGCUGCUUGAUAUUUGAAAAAUCAAUAAAGUAUUUUACUGUGAAAUAUUGAAAUAUGUUGAUAAGUUUAUUAAAAUAAAGAAAUUUGAAAACAUAUUAAUAAUUACUGUGGGUAUAUAUAAGCAUUUAAAUGUCAAAAAAUACAAAAUAUAAAUUUCAGUGCAGAUAACUUUAAACUAUUUCAAUUAAUAAAUAAAUUAUUUAUUAUGUGGUAAUAAUUAAUAAACGAUGAGCUUAUACACAUAUUCAGCUAUACCUAAAUAACCUAAAUGAAAUGAAAUCGAAUUUGUACUACAGGAGACAAUGUUUCAUUACUGUCUAAUUCAUUUUAUUUGUAUAUUUUUUAUAUAUUUUAAACUUUUGUUUCUUAAUUGUAAAAUCCAGGUAUAUCUAUCGAAUGAAUUAAAAAACGAUUGGAA